rnacentral:rRNA from 1 species
AACGAACGCUGGCGGCAUGCCUAACACAUGCAAGUCGAACGAGACCUUCGGGUCUAGUGGCGCACGGGUGCGUAACGCGUGGGAACCUGCCUUUAGGUGCGGAAUAACUCAGAGAAAUUUGAGCUAAUACCGGAUGAUGUCUUCGGACCAAAGAUUUAUCGCCUUUAGAUGGGCCUGCGUUGGAUUAGCUAGUGGGUGGGGUAAAGGCCUACCAAGGCGACGAUCCAUAGCUGGUCUGAGAGGAUGAUCAGCCACACUGGGACUGAGACACGGCCCAGACUCCUACGGGAGGCAGCAGUGGGGAAUAUUGGACAAUGGGCGAAAGCCUGAUCCAGCCAUGCCGCGUGAGUGAUGAAGGCCUUAGGGUUGUAAAGCUCUUUUACCCGAGAUGAUAAUGACAGUAUCGGGAGAAUAAGCUCCGGCUAACUCCGUG